rnacentral:rRNA from 1 species
GAUGAACGCUGGCGGCGUGCCUAAUACAUGCAAGUCGAGCGAACAGACGAGGAGCUUGCUCCUCUGACGUUAGCGGCGGACGGGUGAGUAACACGUGGAUAACCUACCUAUAAGACUGGGAUAACUUCGGAAAACCGGAGCUAAUACCGGAUAAUAUAUUGAACCGCAUGGUUCAAUAGUGAAAGACGGUUUUGCUGUCACUUAUAGAUGGAUCCGCGCCGCAUUAGCUAGUUGGUAAGGUAACGGCUUACCAAGGCAACGAUGCGUAGCCGACCUGAGAGGGUGAUCGGCCACAAUGGAACUGAGACGCGGUCCAGACUCCUACAGGAGGCAGCAGUAGGGAAUCUUCCGCAAUGGGCGAAAGCCUGACGGAGCAACGCGGCGUGAGUGAUGAAGGUCUUCGGAUCGUAAAACUCUGUUAUUAGGGGAGAACAAAUGUGUAAGUAACUAUGCACGUCUUGACGGUACCUAAUCAGAAAGCCACGGCUAGCUACGUG